CGUCUCCUGUCUCUCUGUGUCCUUCACCCUCACUCUCUCUCAUCUCCAGGCUGACCCGUGUCGGUCUCACAGAUUCUGGUGCCGAGGAUCUCGUCUCCGCUCUCAGUACAAACCCAUCACUGACCGAUCUGAACCUGAGUGGUAAUAAACUGGGGGAUUCAGGAGUGAAACUGGUGUCUGCGGCUCUGAGGAACCCGGAGUGUAAAAUACAGAGACUGGGGCUGAGGAAUGUCGGUCUCACAGAUUCUGGUGCCGAGGAUCUUGUCUCCGCUCUCAGUACAAACCCAUCACUGACGGUGCUGAACCUGGGAUCAAACUCUCUGACAGACCGAUCUGUCCCCGCUCUCCGCCGCCUCAUACUGACCCUCCCGAGUCUGAAGUGGAUCUGGCUGGGGGGGAAUCGGUUCAGUGAGACCGGGAGGAAGGAACUGAGAUCUCUACAGGAACCCAGACCCGGACUGAUGGUGGAUCUGUGAACAUCUGAAUGUGGUGAAUCGGUUCAGUGAGACCGGGAUGAAGGAACUGAGAUCUCUACAGGAACCCAGACCCGGACUGAUGGUGGAUCUGUGAACAUCUGAAUGUGGUGAAUCGGUUCAGUGAGACCGGGAUGAAGGAACUGAGAUCUCUACAGGAACCCAGACCCGGACUGAUGGUGGAUCUGAAUGUGUGAACAUCCCCGCCCGCGGGAUGGGGACAUUUGGCCGACUCCCCGCCCUCCCCUUUAACUCCCGCCCUUACCUUUAA